GACUUCGUGGUGUAGUGGUCAGCACGCUCGACGCGUAUUCGAGAGGUCCAUGGUUCGAGUCCCGGCGAGGGCA
rnacentral:tRNA from 1 species